GACGUAGGGGGCAAGCGUUGUCCGGAAUCAUUGGGCGUAAAGAGCGUGUAGGCGGUCCGGUAAGUCGGCUGUGAAAGUCCAGGGCUCAACCCUGGGAUGCCGGUCGAUACUGCCGGACUAGAGUUCGGAAGAGGCGAGUGGAAUUCCCGGUGUAGCGGUGAAAUGCGCAGAUAUCGGGAGGAACACCUAUGGCGAAGGCAGCUCGCUGGGACGUUACUGACGCUGGAGGCGACGAAAGCGUGGGGAGCAAACAGG
rnacentral:rRNA from 1 species